UACGAAGGGGGCUAGCGUUGCUCGGAAUCACUGGGCGUAAAGGGCGCGUAGGCGGUGUGUCAAGUCAGGCGUGAAAGCCCCGGGCUCAACCUGGGAACCGCGCUUGAGACUGGCACGCUGGAGUCCGGGAGAGGAUGGUGGAAUUCCCAGUGUAGAGGUGAAAUUCGUAGAUAUUGGGAAGAACACCGAUGGCGAAGGCAGCCAUCUGGACCGGCACUGACGCUGAGGCGCGAAAGCGUGGGGAGCAAACAGG
rnacentral:rRNA from 1 species